GGACGCAUAGCUCAGUUGGUUAGAGUACCACGUUGACAUCGUGGGGGUCGCUGGUUCGAGUCCAGUUGUGUCCACUA
rnacentral:tRNA from 4 species